rnacentral:rRNA from 1 species
AUUGAACGCUGGCGGCAUGCUUUACACAUGCAAGUCGGACGGCAGCACAGAGAAGCUUGCUUCUUGGGUGGCGAGUGGCGAACGGGUGAGUAAUAUAUCGGAACGUACCGAGUAAUGGGGGAUAACUAAUCGAAAGAUUAGCUAAUACCGCAUAUUCUCUGAGGAGGAAAGCAGGGGACCUUCGGGCCUUGCGUUAUUCGGGCGGCCGAUAUCUGAUUAGCUAGUUGGUGGGGUAAAGGCCUACCAAGGCGACGAUCAGUAGCGGGUCUGAGAGGAUGAUCCGCCACACUGGGACUGAGACACGGCCCAGACUCCUACGGGAGGCAGCAGUGGGGAAUUUUGGACAAUGGGCGCAAGCCUGAUCCAGCCAUGCCGCGUGUCUGAAGAAGGCCUUCGGGUUGUAAAGGACUUUUGUCAGGGAAGAAAAGGCUGUUGCUAAUAUCAAUAGCUGAUGACGGUACCUGAAGAAUAAGCACCGGCUAACUACGUG